GCCCUGCCCCAGCCGCGGUCACACGCCCUCGCCCCGCCUCCGAGGGGAGGCUCGGCUGCUGGGUUCAGUUUGCAGCCGGAGAAGGUGGGGGCAUUGCCAGUGUCGAGUGGGUUGAUCCUCCCUGGGUCCUUUUGCAAAUUUAGGACCGUGCCCAGAGUCCCGUCAGGAGCGGGACGCCUACCCUGCACCGUCGUGCGCGCUUCAGGGGCAUUAUUGCAAAAUAGAUGCAGCACUAGGGCAGUUUGCUUCUUCCUGGAGUGUUUAACCAAACGAAGAGAAUUCUGAGACUGAGUGUUAGUCUCCUGGUUUUCUGCUGCUGGGUAUAUUUUAUGCCAAGCACAGAAU
rnacentral:lncRNA from 10 species